GAUGAACGCUAGCGGCAGGCCUAAUACAUGCAAGUCGAGGGGCAGCAGGAAUAGCAAUAUUUGCUGGCGACCGGCGCACGGGUGCGUAACACGUAUACAAUCUGCCUUCUACUGGGGGAUAGCCUUUCGAAAGAGAGAUUAAUACCCCAUAAUAAAUUGAAUAGCAUUAUUUGAUUUUGAAAGAUCCGUCGGUAGAAGAUGAGUAUGCGUCUGAUUAGCUAGUUGGUGAGGUAAUGGCUCACCAAGGCUACGAUCAGUAGGGGAUCUGAGAGGACUACCCCCCACACUGGUACUGAGACACGGACCAGACUCCUACGGGAGGCAGCAGUAAGGAAUAUUGGACAAUGGUCGCAAGACUGAUCCAGCCAUGCCGCGUGCAGGAUGAAUGCCCUAUGGGUUGUAAACUGCUUUUAUACGGGAAUAAACCCGGGUACGUGUACCCGGCUGAAUGUACCGUAAGAAUAAGGGUCGGCUAACUUCGUGCCAGCAGCCG
rnacentral:rRNA from 1 species